rnacentral:rRNA from 1 species
GAUGAACGCUAGCGGCGUGGAUAAGGCAUGCAAGUCAAACGGUUCGCUUCGGCGAAUAGUGGCAAACGGGUUAGUAACACGUAGAUACACACCCUCUACACAGGCAUAACCCAUCGAAAGAUGGGCUAAUUCCUGAUAGUCCUUGCCUUCGGGCAGGGUAAAGGUUUCGAGCAAUCGAUUCCGGUAGAGGAGUGGUCUGCGGCUUAUCAGCUUGUUGGUGAGGUAAUGGCUCACCAAGGCUAUGACGGGUAGGGGGUAUGAGAGUGUGUUCCCCAACAAGGGCACUGCGACACGGGCCCUACUCCUACGGGAGGCAGCAGUCGAGAAUAUUCGACAAUGGGCGAAAGCCUGAUCGAGCGACGCCGCGUGCUUGAAGAAGCCCUUCGGGGUGUAAAAAGCUUUUCUGGAGGAAGAACCUUCGGGUGACGGUACUCCAGGAAUAAGGAGAUGCUAAUCACGUGCCAGCAGCAGCGGUAAUACGUGAUCUUCAAGCGUUAUCCGGAUUUAUUGGGCGUAAAGCGUCCGUAGGCGCCCCGCUAGGUUUUCUGUUAAACCCUGGGGCUUAACCUUAGAACUGCAGAAAAAACCAGCGAGGUAGAGGGCGUUAAAGGCUGAUGGAACGGUCGGUGUAGGGGUGAAAUCCGUUGAUAUCGACCGGAACACCAAAUGCGAAGGCAUUCAGCUGGGGCGGCCCUGACGCUGAGGGACGAAAGCGUGGGUAGCAAAAAGGAUUAGAUACCCUUGUAGUCCACGCUGUAAACGAUGGACACUGGCUAUUUGAAGUGUCGACCCUUCAAGUGGCGAAGCUAACGCGUUAAGUGUCCCGCCUGGGAAGUACGACGGCAACGUUAAAACUCAAAGGAAUAGACGGGGCUUCACACAAGCGGUGGACCAUGUGGCUCAAUUCGAUAAUAAGCGAAGAACCUUACCAGGGCUUGACAGACUAGUGAAAUCCCGCCGAAAGGCGGGACUCCCACAAGGCACUAGUCCAGGUGCUGCAUGGUUGUCGUCAGCAUGUGCUUUGAAGUGCUCCCUUAAAUGGGGCAACAUGCGCAACCCUCGCCCUAUGUUUUAUUUGUCAUAGGGAACUGCCCGAGAUAAUUGGGAGGAAGGUGAGGAUGACGCCAAAUCAGCAUGGCCCUUUGACGCCCUGGGCUGCACACGUGGUACAAUGGAGCCGACAAUGGGCGAAGCCGCAAGGCGGAGGUAAUCCCAUCAAACGGUUUCUAAGUUCGGAUUGAGGUCUGAAAUUCGACCUCAUGAAGUCGGAAUCGCUAGUAAUCGCCAAUCAGCCACGUGGCGAUGAAUAUGUUCCUGAAGCUUGUACUCACCGCCCGUCACAUUAAGGAAGCCGGCAAUAGCCGAAAUGCCCGCUUAGCGGGUCCUAAGCUAAGGUCGGUAACAAGAAUG